rnacentral:rRNA from 1 species
UACGUAGGGGGCGAGCGUUGUCCGGAUUUAUUGGGCGUAAAGAGCUCGUAGGCGGUUUGGCAAGUCGGGUGUGAAAACUCCGGGCUCAACUCGGAGACGCCACUCGAUACUGCUAUGACUCGAGUCCGGUAGGGGAGUGCGGAAUUCCUGGUGUAGCGGUGAAAUGCGCAGAUAUCAGGAGGAACACCGGUGGCGAAGGCGGCACUCUGGGCCGGUACUGACGCUGAGGAGCGAAAGCGUGGGGGAGCGAACAGG